rnacentral:rRNA from 1 species
AGUUUGAUCAGUGGCUCGAGGACAACGCUGGCGGCGUGCUUAACACAUGCAAGUCGAACGGUAAGGCCCUUCGGGGUACACGAGUGGCGAACGGGUGAGUAACACGUGGGUGAUCUGCCCUGCACUUUGGGAUAAGCCUGGGAAACUGGGUCUAAUACCGAAUACUCCCUGCUGGUUGCAUGACCUGGCAGGGGAAAGCUUUUGCGGUGUGGGAUGGGCCCGCGGCCUAUCAGCUUGUUGGUGGGGUGAUGGCCUACCAAGGCGACGACGGGUAGCCGGCCUGAGAGGGUGACCGGCCACACUGGGACUGAGAUACGGCCCAGACUCCUACGGGAGGCAGCAGUGGGGAAUAUUGCACAAUGGGCGCAAGCCUGAUGCAGCGACGCCGCGUGAGGGAUGACGGCCUUCGGGUUGUAAACCUCUUUCAAUAGGGACGAAGCGCAAGUGACGGUACCUAUAGAAGAAGGACCGGCCAACUACGUG